UGGUGAUCAUGGGCACAUGGAAACACUCGUUCCCUUCCCGAACACGACAGUUAAGCAUGUAGCCGCCGAUGGUAGUG
rnacentral:rRNA from 1 species